CCUANGGGUGGCAGCAGUGGGGAAUUUUGGACAAUGGGCGAAAGCCUGAUCCAGCAAUGCCGCGUGCAGGAUGAAGGCCUUAGGGUUGUAAACUGCUUUUGUACGGAACGAAACGGUCUCUCUUAAUACGGGGGGCUAAUGACGGUACCGUAAGAAUAAGCACCGGCUAACUACGUGCCAGCAGCCGCGGUAAUACGUAGGGUGCGAGCGUUAAUCGGAAUUACUGGGCGUAAAGCGUGCGCAGGCGGUUAUAUAAGACAGAUGUGAAAUCCCCGGGCUCAACCUGGGACCUGCAUUUGUGACUGUAUAGCUAGAGUACGGUAGAGGGGGAUGGAAUUUCGCAUGUAGGGGUAAAAUCCGUAGAGAUGCGAAGGAACACCAGAGGCGAAGGCAAUCCCCUGGACCUGUACUGACGCUCAUGCACGAAAGCGUGGGGAGCAAACAGGAUUAGAUACCCGANUANUC
rnacentral:rRNA from 1 species